GCAAUCAUGAAGAAGAGGGAAGACGGAAGCUUCACUUGAUUCACACAGCCAUUUUAUUUCAGUCAAGAAAUUUGUUUGGUUAAGAGGUUUCGUUGGAAAAAAUACUUUGUACAAAUGAUGGCUUACGUUAUGGAGAGUCAUGGAUUACCCAGAGCUAAUUAUAUAAUUUUAGUCUUGAAAACCACGUGGACCUAAUUCGAUUGUGAUGUACAAAGAUGGUUGCAGCUUACUUCGGUUUGACUUCAAAGAAAUGAUAGCCACAUCCUUUCGAUGUAAAGAGACAGUUCUGGAUAAGAGUACAUCGUUGUCGAGUCUUCAGGGUUGAUACCAGCUGUAGAAAGACGACUUCCUUUGAACUUACUUGAUAAGAUGAACUGAUAUGGUGCCUGGCACUAUGAUCAUUUUAAGGAUGAUUUUUCAUGAAAUCAAGAUUGUCUUGUAAUGGAAGAUAUCAAAGAUUGGACUUCUUCCAAUACACCUACAACACAAUUAUAUAGGUGCUGCAGUUUCAACAUUACUACAGAUCUAGAACGGGUCCAC